rnacentral:rRNA from 1 species
CCUACGGUGCGCAGCAGUGAGGAAUAUUGGUCAAUGGGCGCGAGCCUGAACCCGCCAAGUAGCGUGAGGGAAGACGGUCCUAUGGAUUGUACCCCUCUUUUGUCGGGGAGCAAAAGACGCCACGCGUGGCGUUCCGAGAGUACCCGAAGCAAAAGCAUCGGCUAACUCCGUGCCAGCAGCCGCGGUAAUACGGAGGAUGCGAGCGUUAUCCGGAUUUAUUGGGUUUAAAGGGUGCGUAGGCGGGCUGUUAAGUCAGCGGUCAAAUGUCGGGGCUCAACCCCGGCCUGCCGUUGAAACUGGCGGCCUCGAGUGGGCGAGAAGUAUGCGGAAUGCGUGGUGUAGCGGUGAAAUGCAUAGAGAUCAUACAGAACACCGAUUGCGAAGGCAGCUUACCAAACUACGACUGACGUUGAGGCACGAAAGCGUGGGGAGCAAACAGGAUUAGAUACCCUUGUAGUC